GCUUGGGUCCACUUCCACACUGCCGAGUGUACUUUCAUUUUCAAUAAAUUCCUGCUUUUGUUCUUUUGUUGCUUCAUGCUUUCUUUGCUUUGCUGGGCAUUUUGUCCAAUUCUUUGUUCAAAACACCAAGAACCUGGACAACUUGCAGUCAACACCCUCUACCAGUGACACUGGGAGCAGAGUGGGGGGUGGGGAUUGACCUAUGUAACAAAACCUUCAUAAAGUUCCUAAAUGACAAGGGUAGGAGCACUUCUGGGUUGGUGAACACAACUAUGUCAGAAAUAAUAAGUUUCUCUUCAAAGCUCCCUUGGUCUUUCUUGCUCUGUACACAGGCCCCACCCCUUGCUUAAUUUGUAAUUAGCAAACCUCUAUAUGCCCAGACAUGCCCAGACUUGUUCUGUAAACUACCUUUCCCACCUUAGCAACAGUCUCUUCCUCCCCUCCUCUUGCAAACGGCAUAUUUACCAUAUGUAGAAAAGUUUAAGUCUUAGCCAAUAAUUGGGUUAGAUUGUUCAGUCCAACUCAAGCCAAUGGGGAGAGGACACAGUAACAGGAGCUGCGUUAGGGAUAAAAACUUUUCUCUCCUUUGUUUGGUAUGCUCUUGCAAUCAGACGGAUGCAGGCAGCACCCUUCUGCAGAAGUAAAUGUGCCUUGCUGAGAAAUGUUCUGUCUAAGUGCUGGCUUUUCUUUGAGGCACUGAGCACUUGUUUCUAACAAAAUGGGGGCACAUCUGGGAUCCCAUUCUCCUCCGGAGAAGGGUCUCCAAUCAUCUCUUGUGAGGAGACGUGUCUCACUGCAGCAGCCUCAAGAAUGAGGGAUUGAGACCCACCAGCAUGAUGAAUAUACCGAGACUCUCAGCAACAUGGAAGGAAAAGGCCUACAGAUGCCAUGGUGACCAAGUAAUUCUGUGCACAGACCAAGGAACCUUCAACGCCAAAGAGAAAUAGCAUCAGAAAAAUACCUCUGCCCCUCCAGGGAAGCCACUACCGCCCCCUUAUCCCGCCUAUGGUGGGGAGAUCAGCACUCUCUCCCCAAUUUAUGUUCUCAAUGGGCAUAUGUUGUUUAGACCACCAAAAAUCAAGGUUAGACAUCCUCAGAUGAUUGCACCACCCUAAAGCCUUACCUCCAUUUCACCGAAGGAGUCACCGCCCCCCACAACUGUCACACCCACCAGUGCAACCCACUACUCAUCUCUAUUACUAUCCCUACCUCUAGCAACUCUAACCCCACCUUAGGUGCUUCUAUGGUCUAGGAGAAAAUGCCGUUAGAAAGGACUCUACAGGCUUCUUUGAAAUGCGCUUUGUUUCUUCCCCGCUAUCCUCUAUUGUUACCCCUUCCCCAAGCCCAUCCAAUCAAACCAUCUACCAUUUCAUGCCCAAUGACAAAACCAAAGUAGUUAUAAUAAAAGUCAAGGAUUUAAAACAAACUUUAGCCAUAACAACUGGGUACCAAGAUAUAAAUGCCUGGCUGAAAUGGAUUAAAUAUUCCGCUCACACCUUAAAUAAAAGCGAUUGUUGCGCUUUUGCAACAGGCAGAGCAGAGACCCAAAUCGUCCCCUUUCCACUUGGAUGGUCCUCCGACCCACAGAAUAUGAACUGCAUAGCAGCUCUCUUCCAAGACCCCACAGCCCGGGGCAAUAAGGCAUGCCAGUCUCUCGUUACUAUUCCCAGAAGUUACAGGCUCUGUGGGUCAGCCCUCCAGAGCUAUUUGGCCUCCAAGUAACAAUGUCAAUUUUACCUUGUGUCUCUCACGACAGGGGGAAUAUUUGGCAUUCCUUGGAAGCCUAACAGGACGCAGUGAAUCUAAGCCUUUUCAAGAGUUAACCAGCCUGUCUGCCCUUGUUUUCAUCCCCAAGCGGAUGUAUGGUAGUAUUGUAGUGGACCACUAUUAAGUACUCUGCCAAGCAAGUGGAGUGGCAUUUGCGCUCUAAUCCAAUUAGCCAUCCCUUUCACCCUGGCAUUUCAUCAACCAAAUAGAAAGAACAAUCGUAAAAAAAAAAAAAAAAGUGUCCCCCUCGGGUCUUUUGAUCGUCACAUAUAUAUAAAUGCUAUCAAAGUUCCACAAGAGGUGCUAAAUGAAUUUAAAGCCAGGAAUCAAAUAGCUGCAGGAUUUGAAUCUAUAUUGUUCUCAUGGGUAACUGCAAGCAAAAAUGUAGACUGGAUAAAUUACGUUUAUUAUAAUCAACAGUGGUUUGCUAACUAUACUAGGGAUGCCAUUAAAGGAAUAGCUGAACAAUUAGGUCCUACCAGUCAGAUGGCUUAGGAAAAUAGAAUAGCCCUUAACAUAAUAUUGGCCAAAAAGGGCGGGGUCUGUGUCAUGAUUGGAGUCCAAUGUUGUACUUUUAUCCCUAACAACACAGCCCCCAGUAAAACAAUCACAAAAGCCCUACAGGGCCUUACCACCCUAGCAAAUAAAUUAGCCGAAAAGUCAUAGAAAAAUGGUUUAGAAAAUAGAAAGGACUCAUAACAUCAAUCUUUAUCCCCCUUGCAAUUGUUAUCAGUGUACUCAUUCUUGUAAGUUGCUGCAUCAUACCUUGUAUUCGUGGAUCAAGGCAAAGGCUUAUAGAAAAAGCUCUUACCAAAACCUCUCUCGAUUCUCCCCCGCCCUACUCAAAUAAGUUCCUACUCUUAAACAACCAAAAGGAACUACAAAGCCAAGAGAUGUUAGAAAAAUUUAAGGACUCUGAAGAGGAAGAAGUAUAACAUCAAAAGGGGGAAAAGUGUCAGAAAUAAUAAGUUCCAAGCUCCCUUGGUCUUUCUUGCUCUGUAAACAGCCCCCACCCUUGCUUAUUUUGUAACUAGCAAACCUCUAUAUGCCUAGACAUGCCCAGACUUGUUCUAUAAACUACCCUUCCUGCCUUAGCAACAGUCUCUUCCUCCCCUCCUCUCGCAAACUGCAUGUUUAUCAUAGUUAGAAAACUUUAAGUCUUAGCCAAUUGAGUUAGUUAGAUUGUGCAGUCUGACUCCAGCCAAUGGCGAGAGGAUACAGCAACAGGAGCUGUGUUAGGGAUAAAAAUCUUUAUCUCCUUUUUUCGGUGUGCUCUUACGAUCGGUCGGUCGGACGCAGGCAGCACCUUUCUGCAGAAGUAAAUGUGCCUUCCUGAGAAAUCUUCUAAGUGCUAGUUUUUCUUUACGGCACCAAGCACUUGUUUCUAACAACUGUGUGCCAGAACAUGGUGCACCCUAACUCCACAACCCUGACUCCAGGAGGACAGACACUCCAGCACUCAGGGCACUUCCAGACCUGGUCCUGUGCCUCUUCAGCCGCUGUUCAUUUCUAUCCUUUAUAAUAAAUGAUAGUUGUUAAGUAUAAAUAGUGUUUUACUGAGUUCUGUGAGUCAUUCUAGCAAAUUAUUGAACCUGAGGGUGGGGCUCAUGGCAGCCUCCAAAUUUGCAAACUUCUAGUGUCACAAUUGAACUGCAUGGUGGGACACCCAGUUGGUGUCAGAGAACUGGUUAGUCUCUGGAAAAACACCAUACAUUUUGUGUUAGAAAAAAAGAAACAAUGUAAAAAAUGCUAGCAAAGGAUAGGGGACUACCCACUAUGGGUAUGUCCAACACUGAAUGGACAGAAAGAAGCAAACAGUUUUUCAGAGGAUCCUUUGCAUCUUAAGACCCUUAAAAAUAGAAAUGCAAACAGAAAAUUCAUGAAUUUUCUAACUGUUCUUUUCUGCUGGAUGCAUUGGUUUCUUAACAUGUAUAUAUGAAACAACAACAACAAAACACUCUUGAUUAGGUGAUAUAUUUUUGUCAUGUAAUUUUUAAGGCAAACUAUACUUCCAUUUACUAUUCUAUACUAUUGCUCUCUGUCUGAACCUGGAAGACAUAUAUUCAAGCUGGUCAUCUGCUGAGGCUUUUCAUUUAGUCAGGAGUGUUAAAUAAAAUUUACGGGAGGCCAAUGUUUUAGACUGAGCUCCUGCACUAGGCCCUAACAUACCAGAUCAAACAAGAAUGGAGUAGUCACUUGUGCGAGGUGACACAUAAUCAAACUGAACUUGGAAAUGGGCUAGUUUUCCAAAAAAACAGGAGAUUCACAGCAAUCAAUGACAGGGGAUCACUCAAGUUGAGCUGGUAUGAUAAGGAAGUUCCUUCUGCUUUAAUCCUCUAAGGAAAGUAACUGUGGAAUGAUCUAUCUGAGUUUUGUUCCUUGUUUCUGCUUUCUUCAGCUUUUUCUGCCUAUGAAGCCUACCUCCUCUGCUCGGCUCUCUGGGGUACCUUUCUGUUUCAUAGAUGGAAUGCUGCCUGAUUCAUGAAUCAUUAAUAAAAGCUAAUUCAAUUUUUCAGCUCAAUUUGUUAAAAUUUUGUUCUUUCACAGGAGGAAGGUAACAAAGUCAAUAGUUACAAAGCAGA
rnacentral:lncRNA from 10 species